rnacentral:rRNA from 1 species
UACGUAGGGGGCUAGCGUUGUCCGGAAUCAUUGGGCGUAAAGCGCGCGUAGGCGGCCAGAUAAGUCCGGUGUGAAAGUCACAGGCUCAACCUGUGAAUGCCGCUGGAAACUGUCUGGCUCGAGUCCGGGAGGGGCGAGUGGAAUUCCUGGUGUAGCAGUGAAAUGCGUAGAUAUCAGGAGGAAUACCGAUGGCGAAGGCAGGUCUCUGGGCUGACACUGACGCUCAUGCACGAAAGCGUGGGGAGCAAACAGG